rnacentral:rRNA from 1 species
GCCUUGUACAGCUACUCAGUUCCAAGGUGUAGUACAGCAAUUACUCAAUUGACAAACUCAAAGGAAUUGACGGACGAAAGAAUAACAGAUCCCCUAACUCCGUGCCAGCAGCCGCGGUAAUACGGAGGAUCCGAGCGUUAUCCGGAUUUAUUGGGUUUAAAGGGUGCGUAGGCGGCUUAUUAAGUCAGGGGUGAAAGACGGUGGCUCAACCAUCGCAGUGCCCUUGAUACUGAUGAGCUUGAAUACACUAGAGGUAGGCGGAAUGUGACAAGUAGCGGUGAAAUGCAUAGAUAUGUCACAAAACACCGAUUGCGAAGGCAGCUUACUAUGGUGUUAUUGACGCUGAGGCACGAAAGCGUGGGGAUCAAACAGGAUUAGAUACCCUGGUAGUCCACGCCCUAAACGAUGAAUACUCGCUGUUAGCGAUACACAGUUAGCGGCUAAGCGAAAGCGUUAAGUAUUCCACCUGGGGAGUACGGUCGCAAGAUUGAAACUCAAAGGAAUUGACGG